rnacentral:rRNA from 1 species
UACGAAGGGGGCUAGCGUUGCUCGGAAUUACUGGGCGUAAAGCGCACGUAGGCGGAUUGUUAAGUCGGGGGUGAAAUCCUGGAGCUCAACUCCAGAACUGCCUUCGAUACUGGCGAUCUCGAGUUCGGGAGAGGUGAGUGGAACUGCGAGUGUAGAGGUGAAAUUCGUAGAUAUUCGCAAGAACACCAGUCGCGAAGGCGGCUCACUGGCCCGAUACCGACGCUGAGGUGCGAAAGCGUGGGGAGCGAACCGG